rnacentral:rRNA from 1 species
AGUGAACGCUGGCGGUAGGCCUAACACAUGCAAGUCGAACGGCAGCACAGUAAGAGCUUGCUCUUACGGGUGGCGAGUGGCGGACGGGUGAGGAAUACAUCGGAAUCUACUUUUUCGUGGGGGAUAACGUAGGGAAACUUACGCUAAUACCGCAUACGACCUACGGGUGAAAGCAGGGGAUCUUCGGACCUUGCGCGAUUGAAUGAGCCGAUGUCGGAUUAGCUAGUUGGCGGGGUAAAGGCCCACCAAGGCGACGAUCCGUAGCUGGUCUGAGAGGAUGAUCAGCCACACUGGAACUGAGACACGGUCCAGACUCCUACGGGAGGCAGCAGUGGGGAAUAUUGGACGAUGGGCGCAAGCCUGGUCCAGCCAUACCGCGUGGGUGAAGAAGGCCUUCGGGUUGUAAAGCCCUUUUGUUGGGAAAGAAAAGCAGCAGGUUAAUACCCCGCUGUUCUGACGGUACCCAAAGAAUAAGCACCGGCUAACUUCGUG